UUGAGCUUGAAUCCUGGCUCAGAUUGAACGCUGGCGGCAGGCCUAACACAUGCAAGUCGAGCGGAAACGAUGGAAGCUUGCUUCCAGGCGUCGAGCGGCGGACGGGUGAGUAAUGCAUAGGAAUCUGCCCGAUAGUGGGGGAUAACGUGGGGAAACCCACGCUAAUACCGCAUACGUCCUACGGGAGAAAGCAGGGGAUCUUCGGACCUUGCGCUAUCGGAUGAGCCUAUGUCGGAUUAGCUAGUUGGUGAGGUAAUGGCUCACCAAGGCGACGAUCCGUAGCUGGUCUGAGAGGAUGAUCAGCCACACUGGGACUGAGACACGGCCCAGACUCCUACGGGAGGCAGCAGUGGGGAAUAUUGGACAAUGGGGGAAACCCUGAUCCAGCCAUGCCGCGUGUGUGAAGAAGGCCUUCGGGUUGUAAAGCACUUUCAGCGAGGAAGAAGGCCUGAGGGUUAAUACCCUUCAGGAAGGACUCCUCGCGAGAG
rnacentral:rRNA from 1 species